rnacentral:misc_RNA from 1 species
UCCGAGUUGACCCCGGCAGUCUCCUACGAGUCCCCGGCAUUAUCCGCUGGCAACAUGCGACGGGGGUUGCGCUCGUUGCGGGACCUAACCCAACAUCUCACGACACGAGCUGACGACAGCCAUGCACCACCUGUGAAGGUGCCCCGAAGGGAGGCCGUGUUUCCACGACUGUCACCUACAUGUCAAGCCCAGGUAAGGUUCUUCGCGUUGCGUCGAAUUAAACCACAUGCUCCGCUGCUUGUGCGGGUCCCCGUCAAUUCCUUUGAGUUUUAGCCUUGCGGCCGUACUCCCCAGGCGGGGCACUUAAUGCGUUAGCGCCGGCACGGGGGGAGUCGACACCCCCCACACCUAGUGCCCAUCGUUUACGGCGUGGACUAC